rnacentral:rRNA from 1 species
GUAAAGGCAGUAAUGUCAUAGCCGAGUGAUACUAAUAAUCCGUAUAGCUUAGUGC